rnacentral:rRNA from 1 species
UUGAACGCUGGCGGUAGGCUUAACACAUGCAAGUCGAGCGGAAACGAUGAUAGCUUGCUAUCAGGCGUCGAGCGGCGGACGGGUGAGUAAUGCAUGGGAAUCUGCCCGAUAGAGGGGGAUAGCCCGGGGAAACCCGGAUUAAUACCGCAUACACCCUACGGGGAAAAGCAGGGGAUCUUCGGACCUUGCGCUAUCGGAUGAGCCCAUGUUCUAUUAGCUAGUUGGUGGGGUAAAAGCCCACCAAGGCGACGAUCCGUAGCUGGUCUGAGAGGAUGAUCAGCCACACUGGGACUGAGACACGGCCCAGACUCCUACGGGAGGCAGCAGUGGGGAAUAGGGGACAAUGGGGGCAACCCUGAUCCAGCCAUGCCGCGUGUGUGAAGAAGGCCUUAGGGUUGUAAAGCACUUUCAGUAGGGAGGAAAAGUUAGUCGUUAAUAACGGCUAACCCUGACGUUACCUACAGAAGAAGCACCGGCAAACUCCGUGCCAGCAGCCGCGGUAAUACGGAGGGUGCGAGCGUUAAUCGGAAUUACUGGGCGUAAAGCGCGCGUAGGUGGUUUGUUAAGCGAGGAUGUGAAAGGCCCUGGGUUAACCUAGGAACUGCAUUCAAAACUGUCAGGCUAGAGUAUGGUAGAGGAUAGUGGAAUUUCCGGUGUAGCGGUGAAAUGCGUAGAGAUCGGAAGGAACAUCAGUGGCGAAGGCGGCUAUCUUCUGGACCAAUACUGACGCUGAGGUGCGAAAGCGUGGGGAGCAAACAGGAUUAGAUACCCUGGUAGUCCACGCCGUAAACGAUGAUGUCAACUAGUCGUUGGAAGACUUGAUCUUUUAGUGGCGCAGCUAACGCAAUAAGUUGACCGCCUGGGGAGUACGGCCGCAAGGUUAAAACUCAAAUGAAUUGACGGGGGCCCGCACAAGAGGUGGAGCAUGUGGUUUAAUUCGACGCAACGCGAAGAACCUUACCUACUCUUGACAUCCUCAGAACUUAGCAGAGAUGCUUUGGUGCCUUCGGGAACUGAGUGACAGGUGCUGCAUGGCUGUCGUCAGCUCGUGUUGUGAAAUGUUGGGUUAAGUCCCGUAACGAGCGCAACCCUUGUCCUUAUUUGCCAGCACGUAAUGGUGGGAACUUUGAGGAGACUGCCGGUGACAACUGGAGGAAGGUGAGGACGAGGUCAAGUCAUCAUGGCCCUUAUGGGCAGGGCUACACACGUGCUACAAUGGGGCAUACAGAGGGCUGCUAAGCCGCGAGGUGGAGCUAAUCCCAGAAAGUGUCUCGUAGUCCGGAUUGGAGUCUGCAACUCGACUCCAUGAAGUUGGAAUCGCUAGUAAUCGCGGAUCAGAAUGCCGCGGUGAAUACGUUCCCGGGCCUUGUACACACCGCCCGUCACACCAUGGAAGUAGGUUGCACCAGAAGUAGGUAGACUAACCCUCGGGAGGUCGCUUACCACGGUGUGGUUUAUGACUGGGGUGA